rnacentral:rRNA from 1 species
GAUGAACGCUGGCGGCGUGCCUAAUACAUGCAAGUCGAGCGAACGGACGAGAAGCUUGCUUCUCUGAUGUUAGCGGCGGACGGGUGAGUAACACGUGGAUAACCUACCUAUAAGACUGGGAUAACUUCGGGAAACCGGAGCUAAUACCGGAUGAUAUUUUGAACCGCAUGGUUCAAAAGUGAAAGACGGUCUUGCUGUCACUUAUAGAUGGAUCCGCGCUGCAUUAGCUAGUUGGUAAGGUAACGGCUUACCAAGGCAACGAUGCAUAGCCGACCUGAGAGGGUGAUCGGCCACACUGGGACUGAGACACGGUACAGACUCCUACGGGAGGCAGCAGUAGGGAAUCUUCCGCAAUGGGCGAAAGCCUGACGGAGCAACGCCGCGUGAGUGAUGAAGGUCUUCGGAUCGUAAAACUCUGUUAUUAGGGAAGAACAUAUGUGUAAGUAACUGUGCACAUCUUGACGGUACCUAAUCAGAAAGCCACGGCUAACUACGUG